AGAAUCAACGCUGGCGGCGUGCCUAACACAUGCAAGUCGCACGAGAAAGGGACUUCGGUCCUGAGUAAAGUGGCGCACGGGUGAGUAACACGUGAAUAAUCUACCUCCGAGUGGGGAAUAACUGAGAGAAAUCUUAGCUAAUACCGCAUAAUACCCACGGGUCAAAGCAGCAAUGCGCUUGGAGAGGAGUUCGCGGCCGAUUAGUUAGUUGGCGGGGUAAUGGCCCACCAAGACGACGAUCGGUA
rnacentral:rRNA from 1 species